CCUACGGGGCGCAGCAGUGAGGAAUAUUGGUCAAUGGACGAGAGUCUGAACCAGCCAAGUAGCGUGAAGGAUGACUGCCCUUUGGGUUGUAAACUUCUUUUAUAAAGGAAUAAAACGAGGCACGUGUGCCUUUUUUGCAUGUACUUUAUGAAUAAGGAUCGGCUAACUCCGUGCCAGCAGCCGCGGUAAUACGGAGGAUCCGAGCGUUAUCCGGAUUUAUUGGGUUUAAAGGGAGCGUAGAUGGGUUGUUAAGUCAGUUGUGAAAGUUUGCGGCUCAACCGUAAAAUUGCAAUUGAUACUGGCAGUCUUGAGUACAGUUGAGGUAGGCGGAAUUCGUGGUGUAGCGGUGAAAUGCUUAGAUAUCACGAAGAACCCCGAUUGCGAAGGCAGCUUACUAAACUGUGACUGACAUUGAUGCUCGAAAGUGUGGGUAUCAAACAGGAUUAGAUACCCGAGUAGUC
rnacentral:rRNA from 1 species